GAAUCGAGAUGAAAAUGGUGGAACACAUUUGGAGGAUGCGGAUGCUGUGAAAGUCUCUGCACUUCUAGAAAAGGAAUCUCAUGAGGUAGACUUGGAAUCAAAGGGAGCAACGGUGGAAGAAAGCAGCAUGUCAACCCUCGACGAUGCCAGCCCAAUUGUUGAGUUUACUGUGAAUGUGACCAAAAUGUCAAAUGCAACACAAAGUGCCCUUAUAGAUACAAAUGACUCCCAAAUAUAAUAAACUAUUGCUGGUAAUUUGA